rnacentral:rRNA from 1 species
UCAUGACAUAAAUAAUAGUUAAAUAUUACGAACUAUAGUUUAAAAUCUAAAGAUUUUGGCGGUGUCUUAUAAAAUCAGGGGAACCUGUCUCAUAACUCGAUAAUCCACGAACAUUUAACCUUCUCUCGAAAUACAGCAUGUGUACUGCCGUUGUAAGUAUACCUUUAAAAGAACAAGUAUACUGCUAUGGCUACCAAACUACCCCAUUUACAUCAGGUCAAAGUGCAGCUAAUAAGAAGGCGACGAUGGGUUACAACCCCAAAAUAGACUAUCAACCAAGAAAUAAAAAAUCUUACGAAAGUGGACUUGGCCGUAAUCAAUUUAUAAUAUAAAAAAAUGAAUAUUAUCUAAGACAUGCACACAUCGCCCGUCACUCUAUCCUAAAGGUU